rnacentral:rRNA from 1 species
AUGAGGCGAACCGGGGGAACUGAAACAUCUAAGUACCCCGAGGAAAAGAAAUCAACCGAGAUUCCCCCAGUAGCGGCGAGCGAACGGGGAGGAGCCCAGAGCCUGAAUCAGUGUGUGUGUUAGUGGAAGCGUCUGGAAAGGCGCGCGAUACAGGGUGACAGCCCCGUACACAAAAAUGCACAUAUUGUGAGCUCGAUGAGUAGGGCGGGACACGUGGUAUCCUGUCUGAAUAUGGGGGGACCAUCCUCCAAGGCUAAAUACUCCUGACUGACCGAUAGUGAACCAGUACCGUGAGGGAAAGGCGAAAAGAACCCCGGCGAGGGGAGUGAAAAAGAACCUGAAACCGUGUACGUACAAGCAGUGGGAGCCUCUUAAUGGGGUGACUGCGUACCUUUUGUAUAAUGGGUCAGCGACUUAUAUUCUGUAGCAAGGUUAACCGAAUAGGGGAGCCGAAGGGAAACCGAGUCUUAACUGGGCGUUAAGUUGCAGGGUAUAGACCCGAAACCCGGUGAUCUAGCCAUGGGCAGGUUGAAGGUUGGGUAACACUAACUGGAGGACCGAACCGACUAAUGUUGAAAAAUUAGCGGAUGACUUGUGGCUGGGGGUGAAAGGCCAAUCAAACCGGGAGAUAGCUGGUUCUCCCCGAAAGCUAUUUAGGUAGCGCCUCGUGAAUUCAUCUCCGGGGGUAGAGCACUGUUUCGGCAAGGGGGUCAUCCCGACUUACCAACCCGAUGCAAACUGCGAAUACCGGAGAAUGUUAUCACGGGAGACACACGGCGGGUGCUAACGUCCGUCGUGAAGAGGGAAACAACCCAGACCGCCAGCUAAGGUCCCAAAGUCAUGGUUAAGUGGGAAACGAUGUGGGAAGGCCCAGACAGCCAGGAUGUUGGCUUAGAAGCAGCCAUCAUUUAAAGAAAGCGUAAUAGCUCACUGGUCGAGUCGGCCUGCGCGGAAGAUGUAACGGGGCUAAACCAUGCACCGAAGCUGCGGCAGCGACACUAUGUGUUGUUGGGUAGGGGAGCGUUCUGUAAGCCUGUGAAGGUGUACUGUGAGGUAUGCUGGAGGUAUCAGAAGUGCGAAUGCUGACAUAAGUAACGAUAAAGCGGGUGAAAAGCCCGCUCGCCGGAAGACCAAGGGUUCCUGUCCAACGUUAAUCGGGGCAGGGUGAGUCGACCCCUAAGGCGAGGCCGAAAGGCGUAGUCGAUGGGAAACAGGUUAAUAUUCCUGUACUUGGUGUUACUGCGAAGGGGGGACGGAGAAGGCUAUGUUGGCCGGGCGACGGUUGUCCCGGUUUAAGCGUGUAGGCUGGUUUUCCAGGCAAAUCCGGAAAAUCAAGGCUGAGGCGUGAUGACGAGGCACUACGGUGCUGAAGCGACAAAUGCCCUGCUUCCAGGAAAAGCCUCUAAGCAUCAGGUAACAUCAAAUCGUACCCCAAACCGACACAGGUGGUCAGGUAGAGAAUACCAAGGCGCUUGAGAGAACUCGGGUGAAGGAACUAGGCAAAAUGGUGCCGUAACUUCGGGAGAAGGCACGCUGAU